rnacentral:rRNA from 1 species
UAGGGAAUCUUCGGCAAUGGACGAAAGUCUGACCGAGCAACGCCGCGUGAGUGAAGAAGGUUUUCGGAUCGUAAAACUCUGUUGUUAGAGAAGAACAAGGACGUUAGUAACGGAACGUCCCCUGACGGUAUCUAACCAGAAAGCCACGGCUAACUACGUGCCAGCAGCCGCGGUAAUACGUAGGUGGCAAGCGUUGUCCGGAUUUAUUGGGCGUAAAGCGAGCGCAGGCGGUUUCUUAAGUCUGAUGUGAAAGCCCCCGGCUCAACCGGGGAGGGUCAUUGGAAACUGGUGGACUUGAGUGCAGAAGAGGAGAGUGGAAUUCCAUGUGUAGCGGUGAAAUGCGUAGAUAUAUGGAGGAACACCAGUGGCGAAGGCGGCUCUCUGGUCUGUAACUGACGCUGAGGCUCGAAAGCGUGGGGAGCAAACAGG